AUUGAACGCUAGCGGGAUGCUUUACACAUGCAAGUCGAACGAGUGGCGGACGGGUGAGUAAUAUAUCGGCACGUGCCCAGUAGCGGGGGAUAACUACUCGAAAGAGUUGCUAAUACCGACUACUCUUGGCGCAGCCGCUAUCGGAUUAGCUAGGUGGUGGGGUAAAGGCUCACCAAGGCAACGAUCCGUAGCUGGUUUGAGAGGAAGACCAGCCACACUGGGACUGAGACACGGCCCAGACUCCUACGGGAGGCAGCAGUGGGGAAUUUUGGACAAGGGGGGAAACCCUGAUCCAGCCAUCCCGCGUGUAUGAGAAGGCCUUAGGGUUGUAAAGUACUUUUGUCAGAGAAGCGGUAUCGGCAGAAUAAGCACCGGCUAACUACGUGCCAGCCGCCGCGGUAAUUC
rnacentral:rRNA from 1 species